AAAAAGCCAGAGCCUGUUUCUCGAACUCUCUCCUACGGCGGAACCACCGCCAUCAUCAGAUUCACACUCAAUUUUCCUCACAAGUCGAAUCUGCAACCACGAUGUCCAUGGGAAACAGGGAGUCUGAUCGGGGAAGUUCUUGAGCCAAUUCAGGGAAAUUGAGAUCGGUAGACGCACCUUUGAGGUCUAUAGCUGCUGCAUCCUAUGCUCGAGCUGCCAUUUCAGUUGUUGGCAACAAGGAGAAAUGAGUCGGCCGGAGGACUCUGAAAGAUAAUUGUUGUUGUUGCUGCUAUAGAUAUGCCGGCGGAGCCUGUGGAGGGAGAGUUUAGGCUUGGUUUGAGAAGUGGGAUAAUCCUCUGCAAUGCUAUCUAUAAAGUUCAAACUGGAGCUGUGCCCAAGGAAUGGGAGAACCUUUGAAUAAGUAUGGUUCCUUAAUUGAAGCAAUUCAUGUCAUGACUGGAUCACUAUUUCACCUAUCGCCAAUGAAAAUUAUUGUCGACGAUAGGCAUUGAAAAAUCCAUAUGUUUUUAUCUGCAAAAACAUUCAGAUAUGGUGUAUCUUA
rnacentral:sRNA from 1 species